rnacentral:lncRNA from 1 species
GAAAGAGUGUGAUCAGACGAGCCUAUACAAACAUAGCUGAUGUACCCACAUCAAGUAGAACCACCGACAAGGAGGAGCUAAGGUUGCUAUCACCAUCGUAGAGCUUGCCGGGGGCAUUGUUGAGCUUCCAUCCCAAGCCUUUGAGUGGAUGUUGGGCAGCUUGAUCAACGUUGCCAUGUACGAGCCAUCAAAGCUAGCUGUCAAUAGAGCUCCACCUUAAAUGGAGAUCUUGUCGGAUCAUUAAAAAAAAGCUGAGACGAUUAAAGACGAUCUAUUGGUGGGGAAAAAAAGCAAGUCACCUCCUUUUACCGACAAAAUAAAGUUAUCACAAAAGGGAAGGUGGUUGCUUGGGUUAUUUUACUGAAGAGAAAGGCAAAAGGAAAAAGACUAGCAACUGCAAUUGAAGAUGUGAGUGACACCAGCUCAACAACCAGACGACCACUUGCAGAAAGGC